GGCCGGGUGGCCUAAUGGUAAGGCGUUUGAUUUCGGCGGUGAGAAUUUCCCGCAAGGGAGAACACCUCGGGUCUCAAAAGAUUGCGUGUUCGAGUCGCGCCUCGGUCG